AAGGAUCAUUAUUGGAAUGAAAUAUCUAGCAAGAGGCUGUUGCUGUCUAGUAAUGUGCACGCCUUUUGUGGAAAAAUAAACCCUUAGCAGCAACUUGUUUCGAUCAAGUGACCUCAGGGUUAUGGGCCCUGCGCGCUUCCACUGCGCCAUGCUGCUGUGUGGGGACUUAUUUCUUCUCCCUGUGCACCACUUGUAGACUUUGUCUGUCUAUGAAUCACAUAACCUUUAUGAAUGUAUCUUUGUGGCCCAUUAAUAUAUAUAUAUACAACUUUCAACAAUGGAUCUCUUGGCUCUCGCAUCGAUGAAGAACGCAGCGAAAUGCGAUAAGUAAUGUGAAUUGCAGAAUUCAGUGAAUCAUCGAAUCUUUGAACGCAUCUUGCGCUCUUUGGUAUUCCGAAGAGCAUGCCUGUUUGAGUGUCAUUAAUCUCUCAAAACUUCAUUUUUAUGAAGUAAUUUGGAUAUUGGGAGUCAUUGCUGAUGGCUGUUGAAGCUCAGCUUUCCUUAAAUUCCUUGAGGACGAAAUGUUGGUGUGUGAUAAUAAUUGUCUAUACCAAACAAGUCCUUUUGCUAUCUUAAUGAUUGACCUCAAAUCAAGCAAGAUUACCCGCUGAACUU
rnacentral:rRNA from 1 species